rnacentral:rRNA from 1 species
UACGUAGGUGGCAAGCGUUGUCCGGAUUUAUUGGGUUUAAAGGGUGCGUAGGCGGCCCUGUAAGUCAGUGGUGAAAUACUCCAGCUUAACUGGAGGGGUGCCAUUGAUACUGCAGGGCUUGAGUGGAGUAGAAGUAGGCGGAAUUGACGGUGUAGCGGUGAAAUGCUUAGAUAUCGUCAAGAACACCGAUAGUGAAGACAGCUUACUAUGUUUCAACUGACGCUGAGGCACGAAAGUGUGGGGAUCAAACAGG